GAUGAAGAACGCAGCGAAAUGCGAUACGUAAUGUGAAUUGCAGAAUUCAGUGAAUCAUCGAAUCUUUGAACGCAUAUUGCGCUCUUUGGUAUUCCGAAGAGCAUGCUUGUUUGAGUAUCAGUAAACACCUCAACCUCUUCUUGAUUUUUCAAAAGGAGGGUGGACUUGAGCUAUCCCAACAACCUUUACCGGUCGGCGGGCGGCUUGAAAUGCAGGUGCAGCUGGACUUUUAUCUGAGCUAAAAGCAUAUCUAUUUAGUCCUCGUCAAACAGGAUUAUUACUUUUGCUGCAGAUAACAUAAAGGAUAAUUGUCCUCUUUGCUGACUGAUGCAGGAUUUUACGACACUUUAUGUGUUGUUCAACUCGAUCUCAAAUCAAGUAAGACUACCCGCUGAACUUAAGCAUAUCAAUAAGCGGAGGA
rnacentral:misc_RNA from 1 species